GGAGAGAUGCAGGAGUGGUUGAACUGGGCCGCCUGGAAAGCGACUAAACCUCAAAAGGGUUUCCGGGGUUCGAAUCCCCGUCUCUCCGCCA
rnacentral:tRNA from 1 species